GCGGUCUUCCUGAGCGAAGGCUGGUGAACUGGGGUGCUGGAGUGCUAUCUGCGGGUAUUUCAGCUCCUUCCGCCGCUGCUGAGAAAGUUGAAGGCUUCGAAUUAAAUGAGCGGCAGCUCACCUAGCUCCUCCAUACUGUUAGUGGGCAUGCCCGUGCUGGGUAAGCAGGCCCACCUUCACGGAGCCGAAAGUGGACCCAGGCAUUCCAGCGGUGUGCUGCGAGCCACAUCUCUGAUUCUAGUCCGUCUGCUCCCAGAGACCCGCUUUCCUACAUCUAGAAAAAACAGGGAUCUAUGGCCAGCGAAAGACGCCCCCUGCCUCAAGGACCCAGCGUUACUGAGACUAGCACUGCAAGGAAAAAAUAUGAGAAGCUGGAGGGGACAGCAUCGCUGUGGCUACAGAGUGAGCGUGUGUCUGGGUCAGAGUAUGGUUCACCCUACUCCGGGGCGGGAAGGACGGUCAGUCUAAAGAAAGUCAGCUUUUGAUUUCAAAGACCACAGGCUAGAGGGAAGGCGCGCCACCACGAACAGCCUGGAUGCAUCAGCUGCCCUGGAAUUCAUUAUGUAGCUCACCCACAGUGAUCCUCCUGCUUCAGCCUCCCACAUGCUAGGAUAACAGGCCAGCCCAGAGGCAAAGAAAUGGCUCCUUUUGGAACCUAUUUCACAAGUCCCUGAGGAGUAUCAACCUUUAACCGCCAGGAAUCCUUCUGUGGUCCUGCUUGAGGUGUGCCAAGACGGAACAGAGCAAAGAAUACCGUAAACCAACAGACUGUGCAAAUACACUGGAAGGUACACCAAUAGGCAGAGUACAGCAAAGCAGUGGGAACUCUCUGCUGUAGACCCUGAUGCUACCUGGCCAUACUCUUAGCAUUUUGGUUAUAAGCUGGGCAAUCUGUUUGUACACAUUAAAGUAUUUAACUAAUAGUCUGAAGGAUAUGGCCACAUACAAGGGAGGGGAGUAAAUGACCACGGAGGGAACUCAAGGUAACCCCAAAUAACUGGGCUUUGAACUUCCAACCUCUCCACAUCACUGAUGCUCUGAUCCUCCAGCUAGCCAUUGUAGUCUCCUCUUCUUUCCAGGAAAUUUCCUUUAAAGUUCCAAGAUCCCCAGUGGAUGCAGGAAAUAGCAGAUGUUGCCAAACACUCUAGAACCCAUGUUUUGUUUUGUUGAACUAGGUGCGGAGGGAGGGGAAGGGAAGGAAAAGACAGGAGAGAGGAUAGAUAAAGGAAGCAGGAGGAGAAAUGAAUGAAUGAGGCCUUGAGCAUCUUCCUGAACAGAUUGUGGGUUCAUUUUUAUUUCCAUGUAUUUAAGGGGGAACAUGAACAUGCUGGAGGUCAGAGGACAACUUG
rnacentral:lncRNA from 1 species